rnacentral:rRNA from 1 species
UUACACCAACAACGCCAGGGUAUUACGAGCCUCAGCUUAAAACCCAAAGGACUUGACGGUGUCCCACCCAACUAGAGGAGCCUGUUCUAUAAUCGAUAACCCCCGAUACACCCAACCCCAUUUUGCAAAUCAGCCUGUAUACCUCCGUCGCAAGCUUACCAUAUGAAUGUCAAUAGUAAGUUUAAUGGUAGUACACCAACACGUCAGGUCAAGGUGCAGCUCAUGAUAGGGCAAGCAAUGGGCUACAAUUUCUAACAUAGAAUACACAGAAUGCUUCAUGAAAUACAGCAUGAAGGUGGAUUUAGUAGUAAAAA